rnacentral:lncRNA from 1 species
UGAUUAUCUGGGUCUAUGAAUGCCUGGGACUUCAUCCUUGUGCUACAAGUCACAAUCUCAACACGACACAUACAGACAUAAAAUGCUCAACCAGCAACCCAAAGAAAAAACUGAAAGUGAAGUGGCCAGGGCCAUGAUGUUGCUCUGCUAUCCUCUAUCACACAUCAUCAGAAAUACCCUCACCUCUCAGUAUUCACAGGUCUGACUUUGGCAGCAGUGUUGGGUUUGAAACCUGGCUUACCAGCUGUGUGGCCUUAAGAAACUUACUCUCCUUG